UACGUAGGGAGCAAGCGUUGUUCGGAUUUACUGGGCGUAAAGGGCGCGUAGGCGGCAGAUCAAGUCAGCUGUGAAAUCUCCGAGCUUAACUCGGAACUGUCAGCUGAUACUGUUUUGCUAGAGUGCGGAGGGGGCAAUCGGAAUUCUUGGUGUAGCGGUGAAAUGCGUAGAUAUCAAGAGGAACACCUGAGGUGAAGACGGGUUGCUGGGCCGACACUGACGCUGAGUGCGCGAAAGCCAGGGGAGCAAACGGG
rnacentral:rRNA from 1 species